UACGUAGGGCGCAAGCGUUAUCCGGAAUUAUUGGGCGUAAAGAGCUCGUAGGCGGUUUGUCGCGUCUGCCGUGAAAGUCCGGGGCUCAACUCCGGAUCUGCGGUGGGUACGGGCAGACUAGAGUGAUGUAGGGGAGACUGGAAUUCCUGGUGUAGCGGUGAAAUGCGCAGAUAUCAGGAGGAACACCGAUGGCGAAGGCGGCUCUCUGGGACGUGACUGACGCUGAGACGCGAAAGCGUGGGGAGCGAACAGG
rnacentral:rRNA from 1 species